rnacentral:miRNA from 1 species
UGAAGUAUUAGUUAGAA